rnacentral:lncRNA from 1 species
AAUCAAUAAAGAAGCAGAAAGUAUACAUAGUCCAUCAGUCACCUCUACAUAAAGUCAUAACUCAUGAGACAAAGGCUAAUCGAUGAAGCAAUUCAAGACAGAAAACAAUAGAUAACUUAUUUUAUUUUUUGUGAUUUUUAAUAUUAAAUUUAAAAUUAUUAUA